UACGGGGGGAGCAAGCGUUGUUCGGAAUUACUGGGCGUAAAGCGCACGUAGGCGGCUUUGUAAGUUAGAGGUGAAAGCCCGGGGCUCAACUCCGGAACUGCCUUUAAGACUGCAUCGCUUGAAUCCAGGAGAGGUGAGUGGAAUUCCGAGUGUAGAGGUGAAAUUCGUAGAUAUUCGGAAGAACACCAGUGGCGAAGGCGGCUCACUGGACUGGUAUUGACGCUGAGGUGGCGAAAGCGGUGGGGAGCAAA
rnacentral:rRNA from 1 species